CAACAGUGCCACACCCCAAGGAAGUGGUACAAAGUUCCACGUCGUCAUCAGUCUGGGUACUUGUUCCCUUUUCCUGGUUCUGCUAGCUGGGUGUGUGCUGGGUGUUCUCCAACGCAAGUGUGGGGUUCAAGGCAGGCCUGUAAAUACUGGAAGCCCACCUGAACAGCAAGACCAAAACCCACCAUGUGUCUAUUCUGUCAUCACAAAGCCUUCUAGGGAUGAGGAAGAGGACACUAGUCUGCAAUACGCUACAGUGACAUAUACCGGUGACCAAGCUAGUCGUCAAUAUGCAACAGUGACAUCUACCGGUAACCAAGUUGAACCUGGGCGCACCGAGAUCAAGUUUGAAAUAGCUGGAGAGUACGCCCUCUUAGCAGAAUCAUAGAAGAAGAAACAUUUACUGGAUAACAUGUUUUGCCAUAGUUUACAGUUACAAUCCUAUAUUUAGUUUUCAUAUUGGAUCAUAAUUUACUCAUAGUACAAAAACAAAUCCUGCCACAACAUCAAAGACUAAAGAUACUGUAUCUACUCCUUUCUGAAAACAAGCAUCUUCAACUAUUUGCAUUUUAGGUUAAAUUAAAUAAAUGAAAAGUACACUGUCUGAAACAUAAAAUAAAUGUUUUCCUUAAUUGAGUUACCGAAUCUAGUCAGCAGUCACCAAUCAGUAGUCACCAAUCUAUUUCACUCCUUGACAAGAGUCAAUAUAGACUCAAAGCCACAAGAGGGUAGAACACAUGUCAAACUUUGCUUGUUACAUCUCUACAU